GCCCCCUUGGCCUAAUGGCUAAGGCAUCGGACUUCUAAUCCGAAGAUUGCCGGUUCGAGCCCGGCAGGGGGUG